GUGAGGACGAUCUGGCUGUAACAUCUGUCACUCCAUUGAUCACCAGGGUUGAUUUGGCUGAUCUGGCUGGCUAGGCAGGUGUCCUCCUCCUCAGUGCGCAUCCCUCCCAAAGCUGCGUGCUCAAAGAGGACGACCUUCCCAGCUAGAGGAGGACCAGUCUUCCAUCAAGUGUAUAUGAGUAUCUGCACUCCCCUGCUAGAACCUUCAAACAAGCUCUUGAAUAAAUAAAUCUAAAAAACAAAACAUUAUACACACAUACACACACACACACAGUGGAAUAUUAU
rnacentral:snRNA from 1 species